rnacentral:rRNA from 1 species
CACAUGCAAGUCGAACGGUAGCACAGAGGAGCUUGCUCCUUGGGUGACGAGUGGCGGACGGGUGAGUAAUGUCUGGGAAACUGCCCGAUGGAGGGGGAUAACUACUGGAAACGGUAGCUAAUACCGCAUAACGUCGCAAGACCAAAGAGGGGGACCUUCGGGCCUCUUGCCAUCGGAUGUGCCCAGAUGGGAUUAGCUAGUAGGUGGGGUAACGGCUCACCUAGGCGACGAUCCCUAGCUGGUCUGAGAGGAUGACCAGCCACACUGGAACUGAGACACGGUCCAGACUCCUACGGGAGGCAGCAGUGGGGAAUAUUGCACAAUGGGCGCAAGCCUGAUGCAGCCAUGCCGCGUGUAUGAAGAAGGCCUUCGGGUUGUAAAGUACUUUCAGCGAGGAGGAAGGCGUUGUGGUUAAUAACCGCAGCGAUUGACGUUACUCGCAGAAGAAGCACCGGCUAACUCCGUGCCAGCAGCCGCGGUAAUACGGAGGGUGCAAGCGUUAAUCGGAAUUACUGGGCGUAAAGCGCACGCAGGCGGUCUGUCAAGUCGGAUGUGAAAUCCCCGGGCUCAACCUGGGAACUGCAUCCGAAACUGGCAGGCUAGAGU